GUAUUAAGCCCUACCUCACCGUACGAUGUAAAGGACGCUGCCGAUACUGUUACAUCGGUUGAAGUCGUUAGCCCCACGCUCUUCGUCAACCUGUUCUUGACCUACAGCAGUCGGCUCUCAACCAGGCCAUAUACAAGUGGAGAACAGGUUGCCAAUAACAUCGCAAACAACGAAGAGUUUUUACUGAAAAGCCCAGGUUAAUUUCGUGAAUCCUUAAACUGAACAGGUUAUGAAACUUCUUAUUAUAAAGAG